rnacentral:rRNA from 1 species
AUGCGUGUUUCGACGAGAACACCGAAAAAACCUAAUUCAGCUCUACGUAAGAUAGCAAAAGUACGGUUGAGCAAUCGACAUGAUGUAUUUGCUCACAUUCCAGGCGAUGGUCAUAAUUCGCAGGAACAUUCUAUAGUCUUAGUCAGAGGAGGUAGAGUGAAAGAUUCGCCAGGUGUGAAAUCCUAUCGUAUUCCAGGAGUCAAGGAUUUGCUGGGAAUUCCAGAUCGUAGAAAGGGAAGAUCUAAAUAUGGUGCAGAAAGACCUAAAUCGAAAUGA